AGUGACAGGUGGUGCAUGGUUGUCGUCAGCUCGUGUCGUGAGAUGUUGGGUUAAGUCCCGCAACGAGCGCAACCCUUAAGCUUAGUUGCCAGCAUUAAGUUGGGCACUCUAAGUUGACUGCCGGUGACAAACCGGAGGAAGGUGGGGAUGACGUCAAAUCAUCAUGCCCCUUAUGAUUUGGGCUACACACGUGCUACAAUGGACAAUACAAAGGGCAGCUAAACCGCGAGGUCAUGCAAAUCCCAUAAAGUUGUUCUCAGUUCGGAUUGUAGUCUGCAACUCGACUACAUGAAGCUGGAAUCGCUAGUAAUCGUAGAUCAGCAUGCUACGGUGAAUACGUUCCCGGGUCUUGUACACACCGCCCGUCACACCACGAGAGUCUGUAACACCCGAAGCCGGUGGAGUAACCAUUUAUGGAGCUAGCCGUCGAAGGUGGGACAAAUGAUUGGGGUGAAGUCGUAACAAGGUAGCCGUAUCGGAAGGUGCGGCUGGAUCACCUC
rnacentral:rRNA from 1 species